AUAUAGGUAUUAAGCCUGUCAAUGAUCCUAAAUUGAUCUGAGAGGAUGAUCAAUCACAGUGGUAAUGAAAAAAGGACCACACAAAAUAAAAUUUGUCAGCAGUGAGGAAUAUUGGAGAAGAAGGGAAACCUUGCUCCAGCUAAAUAGAACCGGCAGUGCUGGUUGGCUUGAAUAUCAUUAUUGUCUAAAAGAUCUCAAGCCCCAAUUAUCCUGACUAACUUCGUGCCAGCAGUCGCGGUAAGGCGAGGGGGAUAAACGUUAUGUUUAAUAAUUAGGUGUAAAGGGUUCUAAGAUGGGUACUCGUACCUAGAAUGUAAAGUUGGAAAUAGUAAUUUAUAGUGUAAGGAUGGAAUCUUUAAAUAUUAUAAGGAAGACCAAAUAUAUUUCAAAACUAACCAUUGACAUUAGAAGAACGAAAGUAUGGGGAGCAAAAAGGAUUAGAGACCCUUGUAGUCCAUACCGUAAACGAUGAAUGUUCAAGGGGUAUGUAAAUUAUCUCCUAGCAUUUAACAAAAACAUUCCACCUGGGGAGUACGAGGGCAACCUUGAAACCCAAAAGAAAAGAUGGUCUUUCAAAUAAGCAGUGAAGUAUGUUGUUUAAUUAGAUGUUCCACCAUAAAUCUUACCUUUAUUAGAGGCCGUUAAACCGACCAACAGGCGUUGCAUGGCUGUGUUCAGUUCUUGUUGUGAAACGUAAAGUUAAGUCUGAAAAAGAACGAAACCCCAAUUACAGAAGAAACUGUGAGACAGUGCCCCAAGCUCCGAUUUCCAAAUAAUAAAAGGGAUUAACACAAGUCCUUAUGACCCAAAUAUAAAGGGCAAUAGACGUGCCACAAAAGUUAAAAAAGGGAGUAGCGUAAGCGAAAAAGGAGAAAUCCCGUAAAUUCAACUAAAGUACGGAUGAAAGUCUGAAACUCGACUCUCUGAAGUAGGAAUUGCGAGUAAUCGUAAAUAAUUAUGUUGCGGUGAAAUAAAUAACUGAAAGAUGUACUAAUUGCCCGUCAAGGGCUGAGAAGGGAGUGCUGGUAAGCUGAAUGGAUAAUGUAAUAAAUAAAAAUUGGAAGUAUUCAAGCUAAUUCAUUAGAAAGGUGGGCAAAAAAGAACUUCGUGAUU
rnacentral:rRNA from 1 species